UACGAAGGGGGGCUAGCGUUGCUCGGAAUCACUGGGCGUAAAGCGCACGUAGGCGGCUUUUUAAGUCAGAGGUGAAAUCCUGGAGCUCAACUCCAGAACUGCCUUUGAUACUGGAGAGCUUGAGUCCGGGAGAGGUGAGUGGAACUGCGAGUGUAGAGGUGAAAUUCGUAGAUAUUCGCAAGAACACCAGUGGCGAAGGCGGCUCACUGGCCCGGUACUGACGCUGAGGUGCGAAAGCGUGGGGAGCAAACAGGG
rnacentral:rRNA from 1 species